AGAGAAGGGCCAGGCGCGGUGGCUCAAGCCUGUCAUCCCAGCACUUUGGGAGGCCGAGGCGGGUGGAUCAUGAGGUCAACAGAUCGAGACCAUCUAGUCAACAUGGUGAAACCCCGUCUCUACAAAAAAUACAAAAAAAAAAAAAAUUAGCUGGGCAUGGUGGUGCGUGCCUGUAAUCCCUGCUACUCAGGAGGCUGAGACAGAAGAAUUGCCUGAACCCAGGAGGCAGAGGUUGCGGUGAGCCGAGAUCGCGCCAUUGCACUCCAGCCUGGGUAACAAGAGCAAAACUCCAUCUCAAAAAAAAAAAAAAUACCAGUAGAGAAGGUUAUUUACUGGAAUUACAAGGAAGUUGAGCUUUAAAAUAGACAACUGAAGAAUAAGACAGCUGAACCUACUGACAUGCUGAUUCUUUGAAGAGAAACUUGGGGCUCACUAUAACAGUGAAGGUUCCUGCCCCUCACACAAUUUCAGAAGACAGAAGGUUUGAUGGCAUCAUGUAUGCCACUGGGGCUAGAAGAGAUCCUUUAGUGUGCCUGGAAGAGGAAGGAAGGAGGAGGAAGUGGACAUACCUUCCCCUGUUCUCUGCAGCUCUCAGAAGGCACAGAAGAGGACCCGGAUGUCUACUGGAAGCAUAGAGCUUUGUGGAGAGGUCACAGAUGUACAGAAACCUGAGUGGGGGCCAAAGGGACACACAGCUGCUCCUUUAGGGUAAAGGAGUCAUGUGAAGGAGCUGGCAUGAAGCUGAACACGGCCCCAGGAAACCACGAACACAGCUACAGCAAGAUAGCAGAUGCCAUGGAACAAAGUGCCACCAGAUGAGGAUGCGGGCACCUCCUCCUGCUGCUGCUGCUCCCAGGCACAAAAAGAGGAUUGCUGUCCCCUCCCUGCUGGGGUUGGAGUCAGCGAAGCUGGGAUAGACGGUGUUCGUUCAGAGAGAAAAAGCAUGUGCAUUUUAGCCACAGAGAUGGCUGUGUCAGAGUUGUGAGAGUAAUAAUAGCGGAGUUAACUUUACGGAGAGCUUCCGGUACGGCAAGUGGCAUUCACAGUACUUCACAGGUAUGAACAGUCCUAGGAGGUAAGUCCUAUCCUCCUUGUCAUUUUGAAGAAGAGGAAACCGAGUUACCACAAAGGUAAGUGCCUUGAUCAAUGUAGCUUUUCAGCAUUAAUAUG
rnacentral:lncRNA from 1 species